rnacentral:rRNA from 1 species
UACGAAGGGUGCAAACGUUGCUCGGAAUUAUUGGGCGUAAAGCGCACGUAGGCGGCUUAGCAAGUCGGAUGUGAAAGCCCUCGGCUCAACCAAGGAAGUGCAUCCGAAACUGCUGAGCUUGAGUACUUAAGAGGAUCGCGGAAUUCCCGGUGUAGAGGUGAAAUUCGUAGAUAUUGGGAAGAACACCAGUGGCGAAGGCGGCUCACUGGCCCGUAACUGACGCUGAGGUGCGAAAGCGUGGGGAGCAAACAGG